CGGAUGUAGCCAAGUGGAUCAAGGCAGUGGAUUGUGAAU
rnacentral:tRNA from 6 species